UGAUUGCUGCCAAUGUUGAUUGCUGA
rnacentral:piRNA from 1 species